CCGAGGCCAGUCCCAUUUUUGUAACCGAUUGCUUGACUGAAAUAAAUCGUAAAGAUGUGACGUUCAGGAAGCCUUAUCACAGUUACCGCGACACGAGUUCAAUCGAAUCAAGUUCACUGAGCAUUUGAGUCGUGCGCAGAAUACAAAACAAAACAAAACAAAACGGAAGUUCCUGUGGACGACAGUGACUGGAUGUUAAACCAUCGUUACACACAAGCGCCGUCUUUCCUGCACCUGUUCCCGCUCACCCUGCAGCCAGUCACACCAGUCUUCAUUAGCGCAGCUGCUGCCGUCCCUCAGCCCUCAAGUCAGGAAGUCUGAUUAGAUACAGAAUGUCACCUUGCCCAUAUCAAGUGCUGGCGACCGGAAUAAUACACAUGACGCUGUUGCUGAUUUACAUCAGUGAACUGCCGUUUCUAUGGAAACAAAGAGUGCGAGGCCGGCCUGGGUUUGAUGGAGUGCUGUCAGACAGCGAGGAGGAGGUCGGAUCGUGUGUGCGUGUGUGUGUGUGUGUGGCCCAGAGGGAUCCUGAGCUCUAUAGAAGCGGUAAAGCUCCAGAAGAAGCUGUGCUGCAUUCACUCGGUUCUCCUUCAGUGCCUCCCUCUCGCUCACAACCUCCACGGUGGGUUUCAGUUUUAUUCAGGGGUCACAGAAUCUGAGAAUCUUCCGGAAAACAGCUGAACCCAUAGUAAAUAUCUGAAAUGUUUCUCCUAGACAGCUUUCAGAGUAAGCAGAGAUGUUUCUCCUGAGAAAAAUAGCUCUAGAAAUCUCAUGUCUCAUUGAUAGUAUGAAAGGAGUUCUCAAAUUGUGCUCAGAUUGUCUCAAUAAUUAUCAAAUUAUCUGCACUGUGCUGUCAACAUUUUUUCCUUGUAAACUCUUUG
rnacentral:lncRNA from 1 species